rnacentral:rRNA from 1 species
CCUACGGGAGGCAGCAGUGGGGAAUAUUGCACAAUGGGGGAAACCCUGAUGCAGCGACGCCGCGUGAAGGAAGAAGUAUUUCGGUAUGUAAACUUCUAUCAGCCGGGAAGAAAAUGACGGUACCUGACUAAGAAGCCCCGGCUAACUACGUGCCAGCAGCCGCGGUAAUACGUAGGGGGCAAGCGUUAUCCGGAUGUACUGGGUGUAAAGGGAGCGUAGGCGGUGUAGGAAGUCAGCAGUGAAAGCCCGGGGCUCAACUCCGGGACUGCUUUUGAAACUGUUGAACUAGAGUGCAGGAGAGGUAAGUGGAAUUCCUAGUGUAGCGGUGAAAUGCGUAGAGAUUAGGAGGAACACCAGUGGCGAAGGCGGCUUACUGGACUGUAAAUGACGCUGAGGCUCGAAAGCGUGGGGAGCAAACAGGAUUAGAUACCCGAGUAGUC